CGUGUAGGCGGCGGAUUUAGUUAGGCGUGAAAGCCCCGGGCUCAACCUGGGAACUGCGCUUAAUACUGAUCUGCUAGAGUCCGGGAGAGGCGAGUGGAAUAUCCAGUGUAGAGGUGAAAUUCGUAGAUAUUGGAUGGAACACCAGUGGCGAAGGCGGCUCGCUGGACCGGAACUGACGCUGAGGCGCGAAAGCGUGGGGAGCAAACAGGAUUAGAUACCCUGGUAGUCC
rnacentral:rRNA from 1 species